rnacentral:rRNA from 1 species
UUGUUGGUAAGGUAAAAGCUUACCAAGGCUUCGAUCAGUAGCUGGUCUGAGAGGACGACCAGCCACACUGGGACUGAGACACGGCCCAGACUCCUACGGGAGGCAGCAGUGGGGAAUUUUGGACAAUGGGGGCAACCCUGAUCCAGCCAUGCCGCGUGAGUGAAGAAGGCCUUCGGGUUGUAAAGCUCUUUCAGCCGGAACGAAACGGUUACGGAUAACACCCGUGACUACUGACGGUACCGGAAGAAGAAGCACCGGCUAACUACGUGCCAGCAGCCGCGGUAAUACGUAGGGUGCGAGCGUUAAUCGGGAUUACUGGGCGUAAAGCGUGCGCAGGUGGUUUUGUAAGUCAGAUGUGAAAGCCCCGGGCUCAACCUGGGAACUGCGUUUGAAACUACAAGACUAGAGUGUGGCAGAGGGGGGUGGAAUUCCGCGUGUAGCAGUGAAAUGCGUAGAGAUGUGGAGGAACACCGAUGGCGAAGGCAGCCCCCUGGGUCAACACUGACGCUCAGGCACGAAAGCAUGGGGAGCAAACAGGAUUAGAUACCCUGGUAGUCCAUGCCCUAAACGAUGUCAACUAGUUGUCGGGCCUUUACGGGCUUGGUAACGUAGCUAACGCGUGAAGUUGACCGCCUGGGGAGUACGAUCGCAAGAUUAAAACUCAAAUGAAUUGACGGGGACCCGCACAAGCGGUGGAUUAUGUGGAUUAAUUCGAUGCAACGCGAAAAACCUUACCUACCCUUGACAUGUAUCGAAGCCCGCAGAAAAGCGGGGGUGCCCGAAAGGGAACGAUAACACAGGUGCUGCAUGGCUGUCGUCAGCUCGUGUCGUGAGAUGUUGGGUUAAGUCCCGCAACGAGCGCAACCCUUGUCAUUAAUUGCCAUCAUUUAGUUGGGCACUUUAAUGAGACUGCCGG